AGUCGAACGAACUUAAUUCAUUCUUUUAGAUUGGAAGCGGUUAGUGGCGGACUGGUGAGUAACGCGUGAGCAACCUGCCUAUUAGAGGGGAAUAACAGUGAGAAAUCAUUGCUAAUACCGCAUAUGCUUACACUAUUGCAUGAUAGAGUAAGGAAAGGAGCAAUCCGCUAAUAGAUGGGCUCGCGUCUGAUUAGCUAGUUGGUGGGGUAGAAGCCUACCAAGGCGACGAUCAGUAGCCGGACUGAGAGGUUGAACGGCCACAUUGGGACUGAGAUACGGCCCAGACUCCUACGGGAGGCAGCAGUCGGGAAUAUUGCGCAAUGGAGGAAACUCUGACGCAGUGACGCCGCGUAUAGGAAGAAGGUUUUCGGAUUGUAAACUAUUGUCGUUAGGGAAGAAAAAAGACAGUACCUAAGGAGGAAGCCCCGGCUAACUAUGUGCCAGCAGCCGCGGUAAUACAUAGGGGGCAAGCGUUAUCCGGAAUUAUUGGGUGUAAAGGGUGCGUAGACGGGUGUUUAAGUUGGUUGUGAAAUCCCUCGGCUCAACUGAGGAACUGCAACCAAAACUGGAUAUCUUGAGUGUCGGAGAGGAAAGUGGAAUUCCUAGUGUAGCGGUGAAAUGCCUAGAUAUUAGGAGGAACACCAGUGGC
rnacentral:rRNA from 1 species